rnacentral:misc_RNA from 1 species
UUAUUAUUUGAUAUCUUUCUCUGUUCAUGAAAGCUUGCUAAAUGAAAUCAUGGCUAGAAAAAUUAGAAAAGCAAAAUGAUCAGAUGAUAUUAUGAGACAAUAUACUCAGCGACUUGCAACCUCACUAAUUGUCAACUCAUUCACUGAACAAAAUUGUUCUUCUGCUUCUAAUAAGCAAGAAUUAUUGCUGGACUUUCUGAAAACGAAUGCAGCUUGUUUAGGAGAAGGAAGAGCAAUUUCACUAUUCAACAUUAACACGACUGCUGACAUGGUUGGUCUGUCCAAAGCAUCUUCUUGCACACAUAGCAGCCCAAUUUGGAUGCAUCUCAAUACUUCAGGAGAACAAGAAUCCUUUAGUGACGAAUCAACUAUCUCCCAUGUUCUGUCUUCUCUCCAUAAAUGCCAUAUCUA